CUUUGUGCUGGCUGGGAGUGGUGUGUUGACUUUUCUUGGGUGCCCAUGGUUACAGUCCUGGUGCAGGGUGGUGCCAGUUUGACUGCUCAGCAGUGUCACCUCUGCCCGCCACACCCCUCCUCACCGGGGAGGGAGCUGGUAUUUAACAGGUGCCCGACAGCCCAGUUAGAGCCGUGCCAAGGACGGUGAUCAAGAGUGCUGCCAGCAUCGCCUCCUCUGGGACCUUUUGGGCAGGUUUGCUCACAGACCACUGAAGAUGUCUGACCACCACCACGGCAUGCCACAACCACACCAUCCAGGUUGCCCUCCUGGUCCUCCAGGACACCAUGGUCCCGGCACAGGUCCCAACCAUGGUGGCCCUGCUGUCUGUCCCCCACGCCCCCCUUCUCCUGGCCAUGGGCAUCCUCCCCAUGGGCACCACCCCCCAUCGGGACAUCACCCUCAUGGGCACCCCCAUCCAGGACCACCUCACGGCCAUUAGAAGCACCAUAAAGAGAAGCACUCCAAGCACCAUGGAGACAAGGUAAGAGUGAGGCAGUAAGAGACUCUUAUAAAUUUCUGCUGUGGUCCUUCAGGCCCCCUUCCCCCAUACCACAGCAUCCAGCCUGGACAGCUGGGACUCUCCUUUCCCACCCUGCGGUGGCUGGAGCGCGCUGCCAAAACCUCAGUGGCUUUUUUUUAGACAUGGAAACUCCUGUUGUAUUAAUAAAUAGGCAAGAACAAACCAUAUUAAGUGAGUAAUUUGAAAAACAGUCCAUGAAAUUCCUUGAAGGCUUUUAAAGCAUUGAUAU